AGAUGUUCUUCCAGCGUUCACUUUUAUUUUCAUCUGAAAGUGACAAAAUUGAACACAACUCUGAAAGCCCCUCUUCAUAAGGGGUUUGAAAUAUUACCCAGGAAAACAAGCCAAUGGUUUUGGCUGUGAGAAUCUCAUACCAUAAAAUGUUAAGAUGAGCAUACUGUGGACCAAGUGGGGAGCUAGGAAUUAGAAAUCAUUGCCUCUAAACCAGGGGAAUUUGUGGACUAUUUCUGUUGGGACUCAGUGACCUAAAGGAAUUGACCUACUGAGCAAUUUCUUUCCCUCUCCACCGUGUGAGUAAGUCACGAAAACAACUCAAGGACUUCGGAAUUGGACUGAAUUGCACCACUGGCUGUCCUGGUUCUUCAGCUUGCAGAUGGCUCUUCCUGGGACUUCUCAGCCUCCAUAAUCAUGAAGUCAAUUCCUGUGAUAAAUCCCCGUGUGUGUGUGUGUGUGUGUGUGUGUGUGUGUGUGUGUGUGUGUGUAUUACUGGUUUUGCUUCUCUGGAGAACCUAAUACACUUGUGAAUAAAUUUCCUGUUUGAAAAUGAAACUAAAAAGUCUUCAUGAUAAAGAUUUGUUCCUGAAUAUUUAGCCCUCCGGUAAACCAGGUUCAUUUUUCAAUAGGAUUCAUUGUAACUGAAUUGGCCAAGUCCAGUCACUUUGGUCUGUUAGUAUAUGAAGGUAUCCUGAAAACAG